AUUUCCUACGGGGGGCAGCAGUGGGGAAUAUUGGGCAAUGGGCGCAAGCCUGACCCAGCAACGCCGCGUGAAGGAAGAAGGCUUUCGGGUUGUAAACUUCUUUUCUCAGGGACGAACAGAUGACGGUACCUGAGGAAUAAGCCACGGCUAACUACGUGCCAGCAGCCGCGGUAAUACGUAGGUGGCAAGCGUUAUCCGGAUUUACUGGGUGUAAAGGGCGUGUAGGCGGGGACGCAAGUCAGAUGUGAAAACCACGGGCUCAACCUGUGGCCUGCAUUUGAAACUGUGUUUC
rnacentral:rRNA from 1 species